AUAUAAUUAAAAAGAGGAUAGUUUGCAAUAGCAUUGUAACAAGUGGCAAUGUAACAGAAUGCCACGUGUUACAAUUAAGUUAGAAAAUAGUUAAUUAGUUAUUAAGUAGCUAUUAGUUAGUAUUAUUUAAUAUUUAAUUAUUUAAUAUGGAUUUAAAAAAAAAACGAAAAAAAAUAUUUCAGAUGGUAUGGAUACAACUUCCACGUUUCAGUUUUAAAAAUUGGCAAUUAAUUUUCUAUUAAAUCCUACUAGGAAAAGGAAAAGGAAAAGGGGGAAAUCAGAAAGAAAAAAAAAAACUACUCCUAGAGUAACCCACAUCUACACCACGUUCCCAUUCCUCAUCUCCUGCACAAAAUACCUUUCUCCACGAACCCUAAAAUUAGGGAUACCACGAUCUUUAAUUUUUUCAGAAUGGAGCAGUUUACAAAGGGCAAUAAAUCACGAUGCAGCGGUUUGUGAACACUUAUAAUUCUUGACAGGAAUCCUGAGUGUUCUCUGCAAAAAGCUCUCUUUGCACUAAAAUGAAUUAAUGGCGGCUGAAAGUAAUUUUAUUAGCGAAAUUAACACCAAGCCGAUGAAUUGGAGGUUAAAGGGAGGUCGCAUUCACGCAAGUGUUGGCAGGAAUAUCAUUCAAAGUUUGAAAACGAUGAACCAAGAACUCAAGGAAUUGGGUUUGUACAUCAUGAAGAAU